rnacentral:lncRNA from 1 species
ACAGCACAGGGUCCACUUAGCCCCUGUAUCCUGCGUGGUCCCCUUUCCUGCUGGGAAGCAGAUAUCCAGAUGAGCAGCAGAAUCCUGUCUCUCCCUUCAGGCCCCUCUGCUCCUUAUGAGUGGUGUUUUCCCUUGGUUUUGGAUAAGAAACACCCUUUCCCCUUCCACAGGGAUUGUUUCUGUGGACCCCACCCUGAGUUUUCCCCUGGUUAGGCAAUGGGCAGGUGGGGGUGGUGGGACCAACUCUUUAGAACCAGCAAUGACAAACAGAUCCCACUUGGGGGAAGUUGAUGUUAAGUGUCAUGGGUCCUCUGGAAUUUCCUGUUUUUUUUUUCUCCCCCUAACCAGCUCAACUGAUCUCCUGGGAUCUCUACUAAGAUGUUGGCAGCCCGGCCAGCUGGUCUGGCCCUGGACGUGCCUUCAGGGUCUGGUUAUGCUUCAUGACCUGCAUUGUGGUCAGUGGUAAGCAGCACCUGCUUCUAGCUUUACUGUUGGGUCAGAUUUUAUCCCCACUCCAGCUCUGCAGUGUAGCUGCUUCUUGAUUCAUCCAUGGACCCUGCACGAAAUUGCCCCAUGUUUCUGUUUGUGCAUCACUGAGGAAGGAAGCAUGAAGGACGCACAGGUCAGGCCAUUCCAUUGCCCUCCUGGUGCUGGGUUUGCCCUCCCAAUCCUGGGGUUGCUUCAGGGGCUGGUCGUUCUCCAUAGCCCCCUCCACAUUUCUCAGGUUUCUGCUCAAAAGUCACCUUUUGGAGGGGUCUCCACCUGUCACUGUGUUUGUAAUAGCUCCUUCGGUUUCUUUCUAGCUCAUCUCACUCUGGUAAUGUCUUUGAUUACCACCACCAUCUGACCUGGUCUUAUGACCUGUUAGCUUCCUUCAUCAGAUGUGAGCACCAGGAUGGCAGGGGCCUCAUCUGUCCUCUUCCUCCUGUGGCCUGGGUCCUAGCACCAUGUCUGCCAUUUUGCAGACUUUGAUCACAGUGAAACGUUCCAUGGGAACUUGGGCCAUGAGAAACAUCCUUCCUAACCACGUGACUGCAGAAACAUCCUUAUCACAUCCUCCUGGGCAAAGGCCCAACAGCCUGACUGCAGGGACAUCCUUGCCAUAUCCUGCUGGGCAGCAAGCUCUACCACCCAGAUCCCUCCCUCCCAGUCCCAUGAUUACCCCAGCCUGUGAGUGGCAGUUGGUUCUGGCACUAAGCUGGUUUCCUCCUCCCC